rnacentral:rRNA from 1 species
AUUGAACGCUGGCGGCAUGCCUUACACAUGCAAGUCGAACGGCAGCAUGAUCUAGCUUGCUAGAUUGAUGGCGAGUGGCGAACGGGUGAGUAAUACAUCGGAACGUGCCCUGUAGUGGGGGAUAACUAGUCGAAAGAUUAGCUAAUACCGCAUACGACCUGAGGGUGAAAGUGGGGGACCGCAAGGCCUCAUGCUAUAGGAGCGGCCGAUGUCCGAUUAGCUAGUUGGUGAGGUAAAGGCUCACCAAGGCGACGAUCAGUAGCUGGUCUGAGAGGACGAUCAGCCACACUGGGACUGAGACACGGCCCAGACUCCUACGGGAGGCAGCAGUGGGGAAUUUUGGACAAUGGGCGAAAGCCUGAUCCAGCAAUGCCGCGUGUGUGAAGAAGGCCUUCGGGUUGUAAAGCACUUUUGUCCGGAAAGAAAUGGCUCUGGUUAAUACCUGGGGUCGAUGACGGUACCGGAAGAAUAAGGACCGGCUAACUACGUG